UUUUUUUUUUUUUUUGAGACAAGGUCUUUCUUGCUAAUUUGUCCAAGCUGGCCUCAAUUUUGCAACCCUCCUGCCUCAGUAUCCCAAGUAGGUGGGAUCGCAGGCAGGACCCACCAUAUCAGUUCCUCACUUCUAAAAGGGAGACAAUCAUAUUAAAACUUCAGGAUUAAGAUGACAAUUAGAGAUAAAGCAUCUGGCCCAUGUAACAUACCAAAAACACAGUAGCCUCUAUCAUUACCACCAACAACACCAUUAUUAAGAGUCUGAACUAAUGCAAACUCCUGGCUGGUUUCAUUUCUUCUCUCUUAUUGCCCUCCAGCUGUUCCUCACAUGGCAGCCUAAUUUAAAACCAAAAAACAAAUCACAUCCAUAUUACUUGAAACGUUUCUUUGACUUCCCAUGCACUUUAAAUAAAAUCCAAGCUUUUUCCUCUGGCCUCUAGGGUCAGCUCAACCUAGCUUCUGUCCCCUUCCACUGUCAAUCCCAUGGCAUUAAGCUUUCCCCAAAACCCACUGAUCCAGCCACGCUGGCCCCCUUGGUUCCCUAAAUACUUCAGGUUCUGACCAUCUCAGGGCCUUUCCUCUGGAUUUUCUCUGCUCAGAAAGCACCUGCUUCCUAUCCCUUCCACAUGUUCUUUGGAUGUUUGGGAUGCGUCUUCAGUGUCAACUUAUCUGACUACACUAUCUUAAUAUUAUUCUACUCCUUUAUCUUCUGCCCCAAUUUAUCACUGCUCACUAAUAUUUAUAUAACAGUAUUUAUAUGACCAAGAAAUAUUUUGCUUUGUUCACUGCUAUGUCUCUAGUACCUAGACCAAUACUAGACAAAGUAUUUGAUUUAUUAUUGUGAUGCAGCACUCUGUGCAUUACCACAAAGAGAUUCAAAUCUAACACUAUUAAAGGCCUCAGGACAUCAGGGAGGUUAGGAUUUUCGUACAAUGAUUGCCAGUUGUGUUUCUUUUCAAAUCAUUUAACUACUUUCUUGGGCAUUAUAGGGUAAACUUCCUCUUUUAUGUAUUAUCCAAAUUUUCCAUAAUAACUAUGUAUUUUUAAUAAAAGUUCUUAUUAACUGCAUUUUAAUGACAAGACUCAUCAGAGGAAAUCAAUCUUAUUUUUUAAAUUUUUUGAAGUAUAAUUCACAAUAAGGAAAGAAAAUUCAACAGCCAACCUAACACUUUUAAGCAGAUCAGUAUUUUAAAAGAGGGCAAUUACAAGUCAAAGAGCACUACCUAAAAUAUAAAAGAAGGUGAGUGAUUCAAAAUUAUUUUCAAGUUGCUCAGAGGUAGAUAACACGAUAAAGUCAAAUGAAAUUUUCAUGUAGUGUCCCACAGGAGGAAGAGCAUAAGGAGUAUUCAUGGGCAUGGGAGGAGAAUGUUUCAGAAGAAAUGACAUACAUUUAAAUUAGGAAGAAAACCUAACAGAUUUUAAUCUAUCAAGAAACUAUAUCUUAAAUAGAAAUUUACUACUUGGCCAUUUAUCUCUGAACAACAACAAAAUGUAGGAGAUAAUAUUAAUGCUAAUGAAAUACCUAGUCCCUGGCAUAAAAUGGGCAUUCAGUACUUACUGAAUAUAAGUUUCUUGAAGCCUUCUCCAGUCUAAGAGGCAACCAUAUACAUCUGCAAUUUUGGAAAGGAAUGUAUCACACACAUUUUGUCAUUGUUAAUCAGAGGGGAAUGCCUCCUUUCAUCAUUGCCUGUGUUGUUGUCACCUUUGGAGAUUUCAAUGACUGUUUUCAUGACUCUAGCACUCUUCAACAGCUCACUCAGAAAUCUCAUUCUGACCACUAUUUUCACCAAAACAUUUCAUAUAGUUCUAUGGCAUUUAGUACAUUCAGAUUGUUUUGCAAGUGCUCUACCAUCUACUUCCAAAACUUUUUUUUCCCUCUUAAUAAAACUGAAACUCUGUACCACCGAACAAUAACUCCCUAUUCAUUAGGUGAUUGAAUUUCUUAUAUUCUCCAAGGAGCUGUUUUAGAUUUUUUUCCCAAGUAUUCUCAAAAGUUCAAAUAAAUUAUUUUCCUGUUCGUC
rnacentral:lncRNA from 1 species